rnacentral:rRNA from 1 species
GACGAACGCUGGCGGCGUGCUUAACACAUGCAAGUCGAACGGAAAGGCCCUGCGUUUGUGGGGUGCUCGAGUGGCGAAGGGGGGAGUAACACGGGAGUAACCUGCCCUUGACUUUGGGAUAACUUCAGGAAACUGGGGCUAAUACCGGAUAGGAGCUCUUGCAGCAGGGUGGGGGAUGGAAAGUUUCGGCGGUGGGGGAUGGACUCGCGGCUUAUGAGCUGGUUGGUCGGGUAGGGGCUUACCAAGGAUUUGACGGGUAGCCGGCCUGGGAGGGUGACCGGCCACCUUGCGCCUGAGAUACGCACCAGACUCCUACGGUAGGCAGUAGUGGGAAAUAUUGCACAGUGAGCGGAAGCCUGUUGCAGCGGCGCCGCGUUCGGGAUGCCGGCCUUCGGGUUGUGAACCGCUUUCGCCUGUGACGAAGCGUGAGUGACGGUACUGGGUAAAGAAGCACCGGCUAACUACGUG